rnacentral:rRNA from 1 species
GACGAACGCUGGCGGCGUGCUUAACACAUGCCAGUCGAACGGAAAGGCCCUGCUUUUGUGGGGUGCUCGAGUGGCGAACGGGUGAGUAACACGUGAGUAACCUGCCCUUGACUUUGGGAUAACUUCAGGAAACUGGGGCUAAUACCGGAUAGGAGCUCCUGCUGCAUGGUGGGGGUUGGAAAGUUUCGGCGGUUGGGGAUGGACUCGCGGCUUAUCAGCUUGUUGGUGGGGUAGUGGCUUACCAAGGCUUUGACGGGUAGCCGGCCUGAGAGGGUGACCGGCCACAUUGGGACUGAGAUACGGCCCAGACUCCUACGGGAGGCAGCAGUGAGGAAUAUUGCACAAUGGGCGGAAGCCUGAUGCAGCAACGCCGCGUGCGGGAUGACGGCCUUCGGGUUGUAAACCGCUUUCGCCUGUGACGAAGCGUGAGUGACGGUAAUGGGUAAAGAAGCACCGGCUAACUACGUG